rnacentral:lncRNA from 1 species
CCCCCAAAUGAUUUCUGUAUAUCCCCUCAUGUACCUCUCACAGGGUGUAAUCAACCUUGAAAGGAUAAAGGCACUAAAGGAGUAGUAAACAAAAAGACCUCCUGUAUAACUUACCUUCAUAGAGAACAUAGUGGGAUACCUAGUUUUUGAGUCUCUGAGCUUCUUUCGGAUUUGUUGGCUGUGUCCCAUUUUUGAGGAAG